AAAGCCUGACAAGAACAAAUUGCCGGUCUGGUGGUCGACGGAGGGCAUCUAUUUCAGUGUACCUCCAUCCGGAUGUGGACCUCCAGGUGCUACUCCAAUGGGAGGAGCCAGUGGAGCAGCUCCUGGUGCUAUUCCUACGAUACGAUGGUGGUUCCGUCGGUGGUCAGCGGAUGGACGGAGCAUAAGGCUCCGGACAAACGAACCUAGCAUGUCACCAAGCAAAGCUCAUGGGAAAAGCUGGACGAACUUUCACCAGCAGAAAAAUUGCAGUCCCCGUGUCUCUGGACGAAGUACCGGUCCGAUCAAGGUGAUACCAACCUCAAACGGUUUAGAUUAUCAAGUAUGAAGGAGCAAGAGUGGACGCUGGAGAGAAAGUAAAAAAUAGAUCCGGCAAGCUUCCUUUUAUUUUCAUUCGGAAUUGGACUGUGGUCUCUUAUGCUCGGUACCAAACAAGCCACGGUAGAACAAAACGACACUAUCGAGUUCUUCUAAAGAUUCUUGACAGAAAGUGUACGAGCGCGAGUUAUUUGCAAAGUUCUGCCGUGGGGACCGGAUAUACCUGCUACCUGCGAGAUAACUUGCUAAGUGCAAACAACGACCGAUAAUUUGCCACAAAAACUACCGAGGAGCAACAACUUCCGUCUCAGCUCCGAGGAAAAACACGGUGCACGGUGUCAAGUACAUUAUCGAGUCAUUUUUGGCUGCAUCCGGAACGUUGUCCUGCGCUCGGGGAAGGCGGCCUCGGAUUUGUUUCCCAUCACCCUUCUGAUAGAAACCAAGCUCGGAAACGUCAAGGAGGGUUGCCGCAACAAGUGCCACUCCCACUGUAUCUGUUCUGCAUCGGGUCUCCGUGCAUCAGUCACUAUUACGGCUUCUCCUGUGACUGCCUCGGGACCAAGUAUGAGGGCUGUGAUAUUUAUUGAUAUAGAAACCAUCGAUAGAUCCGAACAGAAGUCAACAACCCAAUAAUACGGACGAAGAUCAGCUGGUUCUCAAAUGAAACAUCAAAACAUCAUCACCUGGCAGAUGGCAGAGGUUAUCGAUCAAAGUUAAAACCUCUGUACGGCUGGCAGGAAGCCGUGAUUCGGGCUCCAAAGGGCAGAUCAAGGAUUUUCCAGAAGCAGAAGAAAAAGGAAGAGAGAGGAUGAACCCUCGGAUUCAAAAUGUUUCAUUUAAAGCAUUCGUUUCAAUAAUUCGAUUCAACUUCGGAACCACUUGAACGACAAACAUCUCAGCCACAUCUAUAAAUGCCCGUCUUGUAAGCAGAGUUUUCCCCAAACCAAAAUAAUGGAUUGCAAUAUUCAUUUGAGCACACAUGUCGAGAGAAAUAAUCCCAGCCGGAACGAAAAGAUUGCUGCCAAGGAGGAACAUCGUCGUAAAGAACAAGUGGAGUACCAUCAUCGGCAGGAAAAAUUGCGCAAACAGGACGAGGAACGUCCCAAAGAAAAGGAAGCCCGCGAGAGCCCGUUCACGUUUCGCUAGCUGAACAACAAGAAUAUACUUUCGCUGCAGCAAUCCGACCUCAGGAUCAUCGCAGUGCCAAACCGAUGAACGGGAUGAACCACGUCGAUACGCUCAACAUACUGAACAAGGUUUAUGCCAUCCACAUCCACAUCCUGCUCGAUAGCCCCCUGGCCAAUGAAACCUAUGAGCUGGUCGAAAUAUUGCAUAUCGCCGUUGAAGGUGAACGGGAUGCAGAUGAGCCAAAUCGACAUCUUUGCCAUCGGUCGGUGCCAUGAGCAGGACACGAGAGAUUCUGGGAGCGUCCAGUGCAUCCCAAUUGCCCCUACCGACGGACGAUCUGCUGAGGCUCUUGGGUCGCUGGAGAUCUAAACAAAGCCAGCGUCAGUGGCAAAACCAGCAGCAGCUGAUUUCGGCGGCCGGCAGCGGACACUGUUAGUGGUUCUGGGUCAGCAGCAAUCAGGUCUUCAAAAGGAUUACCACCAGCAGCAUAAUCGAAAUUACAAAAAUUUCGCUAACAUAUCCGGCAAUUGAAGUGCUCACAUAAAAAAGUACGAUUAUUAUAUCUUAUAAAUGUAUACAAAAUUUUUUGUUUUCAAAAUAAAGAAACAGAGUGACAGUAAAAUGGCUGAAUUGAAAUUCAUGAUGACGCAAUGAUGAAAUAAAUAAAAACAAAUUCCUACAUGACGGCAAUUCGAUCGAAAUCGUACCAAUUUUUGUCUGGUUUUUGGCUGAAAACGAACCGAUUUAGUCCGAAAUCGGGCCAAUUUGGUUCGAAGUCGAACUCAUUUCCAUCCGAAAUCGGUCGGGAUUGGAUCAGAAAAUGAACUGAUUGUUUUGACAGCUCACUCGCAAAAACUUAUCGUCGUCAGGAAAGUUGUGUCACCAGGG